rnacentral:rRNA from 1 species
AGGACGAACGCUGGCGGCGUGCUUAACACAUGCAAGUCGAGCGGAAAGGCCCUUCGGGGUACUCGAGCGGCGAACGGGUGAGUAACACGUGAGCAACCUGCCCCUGGCUCUGGGAUAGCCUCCGGAAACGGGGAUUAAUACCGGACAUUCACUUCCUUCCGCAUGGUUGGUGGUGGAAAGUUUUUCGGCCGGGGAGGGGCUCGCGGUCUAUCAGCUUGUUGGCGGGGUAACGGCCCACCAAGGCGACGACGGAUAG